rnacentral:rRNA from 1 species
AUUGAACGCUGGCGGCAUGCUUUACACAUGCAAGUCGAACGGUAACAGGUCUUCGGAUGCUGACGAGUGGCGAACGGGUGAGUAAUACAUCGGAACGUGCCCGAGAGUGGGGGAUAACGAAGCGAAAGCUUUGCUAAUACCGCAUACGAUCUCAGGAUGAAAGCAGGGGACUGCAAGGCCUUGCGCUCACGGAGCGGCCGAUGGCAGAUUAGGUAGUUGGUGGGAUAAAAGCUUACCAAGCCGACGAUCUGUAGCUGGUCUGAGAGGACGACCAGCCACACUGGGGCUGGGACACGGCCCAGACUCCUACGGGAGGCAGCAGUGGGGAAUUUUGGACAAUGGGCGCAAGCCUGAUCCAGCCAUGCCGCGUGCAGGAUGAAGGCCUUCGGGUUGUAAACUGCUUUUGUACGGAACGAAAAGACUCUGGUUAAUACCUGGGGUCCAUGACGGUACCGUAAGAAUAAGCACCGGCUAACUACGUGCCAGCCGCCGCGGUAA